rnacentral:lncRNA from 1 species
UACUUCAAAUACUCUAGAUCAAGUUUAACGGAGCCGAUCGACGAUUUGAAAGCCGCAACAUCGAAAACGAGCUGGAAGUACGAAAGGCUCCGUGCUUCCGAUAGCAUAGUAGCCUCACUCAUAUAUAUAUAUAUAUAUAUAUAUAUAUAAUUAGGCCGGAAUACUAUUAAUAGUAAAAUAUUUUUUUUGCUAUCAAGUUUUUAACCCUUGGAUGAAAAAUUGUAGGAUCGGGAUGAUAUUAGUCGGUUAAAGUUGAGUGGUGCCCCUAGGAUUGAGUGGUCCCUACUAGGUUAUAGUAUUUAAUCUAAUGGUUAGAAAUAAUUAAAAAAAGUUGAUCCAAAGCCUAAACAACUAAUAGGAAUAAUAGAAUUUUGUUACUAAUAAUAGCCCAGUCCAACUCUAUAUAUAUAUUAGCCAUCUUACAAGGGUCGUUUAUA